CUGUGCUGGGUCAGUCCCAUUCAGGACACAGCAUGGACAUGAGGGUCCCUGCUCUAUUCCUGGGUCUCCUGCUGCUCUGGCUCCCAGGCAUCAGAUGUGACAUCCAGAUUACCCAGUCUCCAUCCUCCCUGUCUGCAUCUCUAGGGGACACCGUCACCAUCAAGUGCCAGGCCAGUCAGGACAUUAGCGAUGACAUAAACUGGUAUCAGCAGAAACCAGGGAAAGCACCUACUUGUCUGAUCUAUGAUGCAUCGUACCUGCAUUCCGGGGUUCCGUCGAGGUUCAGUGGCAGUGUAUCUGGGAGAGAUUUCACUCUCACCAUCAGCAGCCUGAAGCCUGAAGAUACUGGAACUUAUUACUGUCAACAAGAUUACAGUUCCCCUCCCACAGUGAUACAAGCCAUGACACAAACCACCCAAGGAAGCAGAAGUGUGAGGCUGGGCUAG